rnacentral:rRNA from 1 species
UACGUAGGGUGCGAGCGUUAAUCGGAAUUACUGGGCGUAAAGCGCGCGUAGGCGGUUUUGUAAGUCGGAUGUGAAAUCCCCGGGCUUAACCUGGGAAUGGCAUUCGGGACUGCAAGGCUGGAGUGCGGCAGAGGAGACUGGAAUUCCUGGUGUAGCAGUGAAAUGCGUAGAUAUCAGGAGGAACACCGAUGGCGAAGGCAGGUCUCUGGGCUGACACUGACGCUCAUGCACGAAAGCGUGGGGAGCAAACAGG